rnacentral:pre_miRNA from 1 species
GAUCUCUGGAAGAGAGGAUAGCCUCCGUAUGUUCACUUUACUGAUGGUGAAUAUACAGGGAGAGAUGCUUAUUUUCAUAUC